rnacentral:rRNA from 1 species
GGGGGCAACCCUGAGUAAAGCGGCGCACGGGUGAGUAACACGUGGGUAACGUACCCUCGGGUGGGGAACAACGAGCCGAAAGGUUCGCUAAUACCGCAUCAGACCACGUCCUCUGCGGAGGAUGAGGCCAAAGGAGGCUGUCGCAAGGCAGUUUCCGCCUGAGGAUCGGCUCGCGCACCAUUAGCUAGAUGGCGGGGUAACGGCCCACCAUGGCUACGAUGGUUAGCUGGUCUGAGAGGACGACCAGCCACACUGGAACUGAAACACGGUCCAGACUCCUACGGGAGGCAGCAGUGGGGAAUAUUGCGCAAUGGGCGAAAGCCUGACGCAGCGACGCCGCGUGGGUGAAGAAGGCCUUCGGGUUGUAAAGCCCUGUCAGAGGGAAAGAAUGUCGCGGAUGACCUCCGCGCUUGACGGUACCCUCGAAGGAAGCACUGGCUAACUCCGUGCCAGCAGCCGCGGUAAUACGGAGAGUGCAAGCGUUGUUCGGAAUUAUUGGGCGUAAAGCGCGUGUAGGCGGUCCAACGAGUCUGGCGUGAAAGCCUCGAGCUCAACUCGGGAAGUGCGCUGGAAACUGUCGGACUUGAGUACCGGAGGGGGAAGGGGAAUUCUCGAGUGUAGAGGUGAAAUUCGUAGAUAUUCGGAAGAACAUCAGUGGCGAAGGCGCCUUCCUGGACGGAUACUGACGCUGAGACGCGAAAGCGUGGGUAGCAAACAGGAUUAGAUACCCUGGUAGUCCACGCCGUAAACGAUGGGUGCUAGUUGUUGCGGGUAACCAACCCUGCGGCGACGAAGCUAACGCGAUAAGCACCCCGCCUGGGGAUUACGGCCGCAAGGCUAAAACUCAAAGGAAUUGACGGGGGCCCGCACAAGCGGUGGAGUAUGUGGUUUAAUUCGAAGCAACGCGCAGAACCUUACCCAGGUUUGACAUCCC